rnacentral:lncRNA from 1 species
UUUGAUCGAGUUCUUUACUGUUGGAUUGAAGCUCUGUCCUCCUCUCCAUCGUCGUGCCCACAGGGAGGUCGCCGAUUAUAUUUUAAGAUGUUGUUCUCGAGUUUGAUCCCAUUGAGAGUCGAGAAUCAUCUUAAGAUGGUGCACUGUAUAUCUCCGAUCUGUAAAUCUUUUUAGUUCAAUAAUAAAUUUUAGUUGUCAGUUCAAUUGGAUUGCAAUCGGUUCUCGUGGCAAAAGAAUCAUAUUACAUAUUCCCAUUAGAUAAUAGAAGGGGGUUUCUUCUCUCC